GAUGAACGCUAGCUACAGGCUUAACACAUGCAAGUCGCGGGGCAGCAUUCACUUAGCUUGCUAGGUGAGAUGGCGACCGGCGCACGGGUGAGUAACGCGUAUCCAACCUGCCCUUGUCCACGGGAUAACCCGGUGAAAAACCGGCCUAAUACCGUAUGAGGUCACAAGCGGACAUCCAACUGUGACGAAAGGUUUGGCGGACAAGGAUGGGGAUGCGUCCGAUUAGCUUGACGGCGGGGUAGCGGCCCACCGGGGCGACGAUCGGUAGGGGUUCUGAGAGGAAGGUCCCCCACAUUGGAACUGAGACACGGUCCAAACUCCUACGGGAGGCAGCAGUGAGGAAUAUUGGUCAAUGGGUGAGAGCCUGAACCAGCCAAGUAGCGUGCAGGACGACGGCCCUAUGGGUUGUAAACUGCUUUUAUACGGGAAUAAAGUGAUGCCUGCGGGCGUUAUUGCAUGUACCGUACGAAUAAGGACCGGCUAAUUCCGUG
rnacentral:rRNA from 1 species